rnacentral:lncRNA from 1 species
CUUCUGGUUUUCCUUCUGUUCUUUUCUCAAUUUUUCCCCCUGAACCCUAUCUCUAACCCCCUCUGUUCUUUCCAUAUCCCCUUCACUGAAGAAAAGCAAAAUCCUCAUAACAAUAUGCAUAGUCAAAUGUAAUGGGAGUCUGGCACAUGUACAGAUCCCAUCAGCUUGCUCAGAUGGCAUCUCCACAUGGAGGAUGCUAGAGAACAGAUGACGCCUUUACAUGGAGGGUAUGAGGGAGCUGCUGCCAGGAGAAUCAAGAUGACAUAAGGGAAGUGUCUUGGAGACAUUGGAGAAUGUAUGGAUAUUCUGGUUUCAAUUGAUUAAGUAUAUGGGAGGAGUUGGCAUCUUCAAAAAGGCUUGAGUCAACUUUGACUGUAUUUCUGCUACUCUUUCUGGUAGGUGACAGUGUCCAGUGAAUUACUAUGUGUGGAAGAGGCAUGAAGAGAGAAAGGUAUUGAAGGAUAAGCCAAGAUGCAAGAGACUCUUCGUCUUUAAGAGGAAGGGCUGCAGGGACCUUCCCCUCAUUCCCAUAUGAUCCCUAAACAAAUGGGGCUUCCUUUCUUUCAUCUUUUUUCUUUCAUUCUAGAUGCUAUGAGUGGAGCAUCUGACCUUUGGAAUUUCAAAGGCCAGGAGAGCCAUAGGAAUCUGGGAGUCAGAAUCCAGGCCAUAUUUUGCAACCAGUAUAGCACUGAUGUUCCAAGGAGCAAGCAGCAAGGAGACAUUUUCAGGAGUGACAUCCAGGAUUCCAGCCCAAUAGAAGAACUUAUCUCACAUAAUGAUUCAUCUAAGUCCAGUGGCAAGACAAAGGUCAAGAUGACUGCAGUGGCCUGGGAUGCAGUGGAUGGUCUUGGCAUUUUCAAUGUCUGACUAGUCUCUAGGCACUGCACAAUGCCUGCUUCAGUUGCCUUCAUGACCACUAGAACAAAUUGACCUCAUCUGCCCAUUCCACCAAGAGAAGCCUUCACAUGCUUGGGGUAAUUCACUGACCUGUAUGAGGCCUGUCAGUUACCCUCAAUCUGGUUUAGCCAGUCUGCCAAGUCAUGGUGCACACUGUAGCUUCUUGGAGACACAGGUGAAACAGUACAUCUUAGGCACUAUUGGACUUGAAGGAAAUGAUGAUAAUUGGUUCCAAGAAUCUGCAGUCUUACAUUAUUAAUAUCCUUCUUGAGUGUAGCUCCCUUCUCAGGGGACCCAAAGGGAUGGCAUGUAUUAUUGACAAGGUAGGUAUUUAUGCUCUGAAGCGAUCUGAUGAGUCAAAAUGGUGCUCCUCUUAUAUUUUAGGGUAAAUUAUUUUUAUAUAAGAUCACAGACAAGAACUGGGAGUCCUACUAUCAUUGUUAAACAUUUGCCAUUCAAGAUUCAUCCAUACCCAGCAG